rnacentral:rRNA from 1 species
AACCCUUUGUUGUCCGACUCUGUUGCCUCCGGGGCGACCCUGCCUUCGGGCGGGGGCUCCGGGUGGACACUUCAAACUCUUGCGUAACUUUGCAGUCUGAGUAAACUUAAUUAAUAAAUUAAAACUUUUAACAACGGAUCUCUUGGUUCUGGCAUCGAUGAAGAACGCAGCGAAAUGCGAUAAGUAAUGUGAAUUGCAGAAUUCAGUGAAUCAUCGAAUCUUUGAACGCACAUUGCGCCCCCUGGUAUUCCGGGGGGCAUGCCUGUUCGAGCGUCAUUUCACCACUCAAGCCUCGCUUGGUAUUGGGCAACGCGGUCCGCCGCGUGCCUCAAAUCGACCGGCUGGGUCUUCUGUCCCCUAAGCGUUGUGGAAACUAUUCGCUAAAGGGUGUUCGGGAGGCUACGCCGUAAAACAACCCCAUUUCUAAGGUUGACCUCGGAUCAGGUAGGGAUACCCGCUGAACUUAAGCAUAUCAA